AGCAGCCGCGGUAAUUCCAGCUCCAAUAGCGUAUAUUAAAGUUGUUGCAGUUAAAAAGCUCGUAGUUGAAUUUUAGGUCUGACCGGGCGGUCCGUCUCUGGCGAGUACUGUCUGUUGUCGGGUCUAUCCUUCUGGUGAGCCGGUAUGUCCUUAACUGGGUGUGCCGGGGAACCAGGACCAUUACCUUGAAAAAUUAGAGUGUUUAAAGCGGGCUUUUGCUUGAAUAGAUUAGCAUGGAAUAAUAGAAUAGGACGUUGGUUCUAUUUUGUUGGUCUAGGACCACCGUAAUGAUUAAUAGGGAUAGUUGGGGGCAUUAGUAUUCAAUUGUCAGAGGUGAAAUUCUUGGAUUUAUUGAAGACUAACUACUGCGAAAGCAUUUGCCAAGGAUGUUUUCAUUAAUCAAGAACGAAAGUUAGGGGAUCGAAGACGAUCAGAUACCGUCGUAGUCUUAACCAUAAACUAUGCCGACUAGGAAUCGGGCGACGUUAUUUUCAUGACUCGCUCGGCGCCUUAUGGGAAA
rnacentral:rRNA from 1 species